AAUUCAGCUCAGAUAUUUUGUUUGCUCCUAUUUUUAAGCCCCCUAUAAUAUUCGGGAAACUAAUUAUGUUUUUAUUUGGAAUUAGUUGUUGCAGGACAGUGGGAUUGGCUGGACCCAAUGGUGAAGUUAAAGCUGCGCUGAUACAACACCUGCUUAUAUCCAAAAAUGUUUGCAGCAAGAAAAUAUGAACAUAUUCAAGCUUGGGGGAUACCAUCAGGCUAGAUAUACAGUCACUCAUCCAAGAAACUUCACCCGGACACAUUUAAGGGAGCACAUACAUUUGCUACCAUUAUCUGACAUCGUAAGAUUGAAUGGGCGGUUGAGCAUCUCCAAUGUGUUUACAGCAAGACUUCGUGAGAAAGUCCAAGCUUGGGGGGAUACUAUCAGGCUGUUUACAUAGGCAGUACCCUACAAUAUUCAACUCAUCCGGAAAGAAAGUAUUGGUACAAAUUGCAUUUUACGACACUUUCAGUUAAGAGAAGCAAAUUGCAAGUGGUACUCUCAAGUAUUUCAAGCCCAAAAUUAUUUUACUGGGUAAACAUUUAUAGUUGGGCUUAGAAUAUAACAAUAUGUCAAAGAGCUCGAAACUCUUCUUGGCUCACUGUUAUUGCCUUUAACACACAAAACAAACCACCUGGAGCGAAAUUUCUGGGAUUGAAAUGUCAAGCAAGAGAUAAAGAUGAAAGGGGAUAAAAAUUGAAGCGAGAAACUCGGAUUAGCUAGAGAUGAGCUACACCGAAAACAGGGGGGAGGCCGAACUGCAGGUGAUAAGAGGCAACCUUCUGGGCAGCAGUGAAGAACAGAGAACGAGGCUUGGCUGGGGUUGUGUUCUGGGCUCGCGAAGCUACUGCAAAGUAGCAGAGCAGCGACGGUGAAGUAAAGUGGAGGACGGAGAAGUCGAGGCGACUUAGCGGUGCUCUGUAAUCCUUCAUUUUCUACGGGAAUUCAGAGGUGUUACUUCGGUUUUCUAGGUUGGUUGUUCGUGGCUCUUUUCCCUUCUCAAUUCUAGGAAAUUGGUACUAUGAAUUCAACUGUUAGUUUGCAAUUUUGCAUGUAGUACUUUAGCAGUUGAUGAAUUGGUUCAAUUAAGCAAUAAAAUUUGCUAGUUUAUUUUUGUUUUA